CACCUCGCAGCUCGCGCCUAGUGUUAUCCAUCCCAAUCAUUCGGAUGUUGAAUGGCAUCGAUUACUCUACACUCUACAGUAUUUAAAAUCAUAAUUUGAUGCUCCUUUUGUGGUUCAUUUCUUUAUUAAUAUAUCAGGCCCUACUAGCUCAACAGUGCAAAUACAGGGAAAACAAAAUGUACGAAGUAUUAGCUAACUCGGUAGCUAGCUACUAAGCUACCUUUCAUAGGCUACUACUGUAGCUGGCUACCAGGUGGUGCAUGCGGUGCUUUGGAGAACUGGAUAUAUCAGCAACAGAAGAGUACAUCCCAGCAGGAAUAAUGUACCAAUUUGCUUACCUGGAGAAGCCGGCUGCGUUUACUAGAUUCAGACCUGAUCCCUGGACCGACAUAUGGGCCUGAGAUCCUCCUGCUGCCUCGCUCCUCCAUCAGGACCUCCGCUCCAACCAGGCAGGAGAGCACAAGCAUGUCCCCAUGUGUCACAUGCCACCGGGGCACAAGCAGAGCAGCAGGUCCACCCUGGGGCUCCAGGAGCCUGGCAGGGUUGCAGCUGCCACUCCCCUCUCCCCUGGGACCAGCGACCAGGAUGUCCCCCUGUGAGGCUUCUGAAGAGGCCUGGCUGUGACCCCCAUCUGGAGGCCAGGGGGGAGGAGGUCUCCCCCCACCCCCAGGGAGGGAGGCUGAUCAGCAGGCCCAUCUUGGGAUGGAGCCUGCCCCUCCAGAGCCCCAACCCGGAGUGCCUGGAUCGGAUUCCCCUGCCUGAAAAAAACACCCAAGGGCUGGGCAGGCAUCAAAGACGUUUCCCCCCUCCGCUGGGCUGGGUGAGAAAGCAGGCGCUGCGCGGACAGAAGGAAGAUUCCCUCUCACUGCCUCGGCCUGACAGGAUGGAACCAGACACCAGGAUUAGACCUCCUUUUGUUCCCUGCCACUUCCCACCACGGGGCUGUGGGCAAGGAGGAGACCCAGGCCGGCUGCAGCCUCGCCCCCGACCUCGGGGCAGGGCCAGGGAGGAGGCUAGGGAGGCUAGGGAGGAGGCUAGGGAGGAGGCCCAGUUCCAGUGGCCUGAGAAGAGAGAGUCUGGGUGUGCAGAAUAGGAGACUAGGUCAUGUACCCUGACAAACAGGAAGCUGUGGUCAGGACCAGCUCUGCUAGCAGCUUGCAGGCUGGCGGUUGCUGCAGUCCAACCGGUGUAAAACCUCGCCUGGGUUUGAGCACAAUAGCACUGCCUCUCCUACGGCCUUUUGUCCCUCCAUUUGCUGACUGGAGUGGCUUUUUAAAGAGAGAAUGAGCCCCUGUCUCUCUCCACCCCAGGACAUGCUCCUGGCUUUUCUGCUUUGUUGCUGUAAACCCUCCCUUGCUUUGUUCUUCCUCCAGCGCACUGCUGGUUCCACCCUCCCACGCCGUCCACAGGCACAGGUAGACAGAGUUGUGACCUCAGAUCCGCAGCCAGCAGCCUUCGCACAGGCUCGACAUCCCUCCUGCUCUGGGAAGGACGGAGACAGCUCACCUUGACGUCUGGGAAGAAGGUCUUCAGGACGUUGGAGCUGGGAUAGCGGGUGUAGAAGAACAUGAGCUUGGCCUUCUUCAGAUGAUUGGGAGUGAGACCCUCCUGGAUGUGUCAACGUUAAGGCAGUUAGAACAGUCUGCUGUGACACACUUCACAAAUCAGUUCACCAGACGUUAAUAGACUGCUAGGGUUGUGUUGCCUCUAACUCGGUUUGAUUGGAUUAGACGGACGAACAGCUCUCAAGUAACAAGAGAGAGUCAAUUAUGACCCUAACAUGUGCUUAUUGGCAAAACAGCGUCAUGAAUUAGAUUACGGAUUUCAAUUAGGGAUUCAGGGAUAGGGAGUCAGGUGGCUGAGCGGUGAGGGAAUCGGGCUGGUAAUCCGAAGGUUGCCAGUUCGAUUCCCGGUCAUGCCAACUGACGUUGUGUCCUUGGGCAAGGCACUUCACCCUACUUGCCUCGGGGGGAAUGUCCCUGUACUUACUGUAAGUCGCUCUGGAAAAGAGCGUCUGCUAAAUGUAAAUGUAAAUUAGGAACGGGCGCUUUUGGUAUCUUCUCCUGGAGUGGAGAGGAUUGAAAAGAUGUUUUGUAAAUAGAUUUUUACCAUCUUUUUGAGAACACUAGGCUAUUUUUAUUAAUCUACCUCAUGGCAAAAUAUUAUAUUUAAAGUAUAUUUUUUGUUAGCCGUAUCAACAUAUCUCCUUUUCUUAUUUUUUUUUCUCUGUGCUAUUGAAGAUGUUCUGAGAGCUUGUUUCUGAAGCCUUCAUAACCACGCCUUAGGUAAUUUCUUAUCAGGCCACAGCACACCAUACAUUUAUUAGGGAAUUCUACCUUUGAAAAAGGUAAAAAAAAAAGUUGGAAUGAAAUAUUUAUGUGAGAUAUUUCAAAGAGAAGUGGAUCUCUUUGCACUGCAAAUACAGAGUGCAUCCAGAGAGAGUGUAUUCUAUUCUUUUCUGAAGCCAAACAACUAAUAGCUACUCAACAAUGACCACUUAGGACAAUGUUUAGGACCUUCCUUAUAAUGGACGUAAGAUGAGUCACUCUGAAGAAACCAGACGUCUUUGUCAUCUUACUACAGUAACAAAAACUACAACUAGCAGUUACAAGUCUUAAAAAUAAAACACAAAGCUUUAGAAAAAAACACAUCAUUUCUUCUUGGGUUGUUUUUGUUUCAAUUUCAGUGGAAAUUCUUUUAAAUUGUUACUUAGGGUAAAUUUUUCAAAAACAGAUGGUAUACUUUGAUGGAGGCAUCCAUCCUGUGUAAGACAGGAGCUCAAGUGUUGUGGUUUGAAGGCACUUGUGGUGUUCACUGGCACUCAGACAUGACCUCUUAGAUGCACCCCCAUCACUCAGAUGAUAGAGGAAUAUAUUCUGCACCUUUUCAAGUCUAAAAAAACACUGCUUCCUGAAAAGAAACUGAUGCUUUCACUGCCUUUGAAAAUUGGCUUUUGUUCCUGACAAUUCUUAUCAAAGCCUUGUAUUCCUUUUUAUUUGUCUUUUUCUGGACUUAAAGUCAUUACUCUGCUCAGAUUAAAGAAGAUGCUGUAAUUUUCUUGGGGGUUAGAGAGAUCAAAGAAAAAAUUCUCCUUGAAGUCGGUUUUAUUGCAUCUGCUCAUACUGCAAUGAACUUGACCAGUCAUUGUUUAACUGGGAAUGCAAGCCUGAAUACCUGUUAUGUUGCUAUUCAUUUUCUAUUUGAAAUGUUGUAAAACCUAGGUAACUCUCUUGGUAGCCUACAAUAUUUCCAACUAUAUAUCCAUAAAGUUGAAUCCACAGUUUUACAGGCUGAAAAGAAUAACUGUUGCACACGCACACACACACAGACCCUGCGUGUAGUAAAGGAUAUAUUGAGAGCCAGGUAGGAGUUCCUUUCGGCCAUGCUUUGCAGGUCUCCACAUUCCAUCUUGACAUGAGGGAGACACAGGCUGUCCACCGGCCCCAGGGCCGAAGGCCGAGGGUGGUGGGCAAGGUGGCUGGAGGUCACCUUCGACCUCAUGGCCAUGCUGUCCCAGGGAAGGUCCACCGAGUCUGGGGAGGUUCUGUCCAAAGGCGGGGGCAUGCAGUGGAGGCCUCCAAAGUUAGAGUGAGGCCCGAAUUUGAGGAGGUGCUCCAGGAUGUGGCUGUCGUGCAGGGGUGUGCUGUAACUGAACUGGAACGGAGGCUGGUGCAGGGGGUAGGGUCUCUUCACCGCCUGGCCGGCCGAGCCCAGCUGGGUGAGGGUGGGCU